AACGCACAUUGCGCCCCUUGGUAUUCCGAGGGGCACGUCUGUUUGAGCGUCAGUACCCACUCUCCCUGGUCGUUUUUGCGAUCACCGAGGUCUUGGGGAGUUCGUCUCCCUUAACGUAGCACGCUUGCGAACCUCACACCGAUCUCGACGUAGUAAAUCUUUUUCUCGUUGAAUGGAAAGGUGCGAGGCCGCCUGAACAUCAAACUUCUAAGUUUGACCUCAGAUCAGACGAGGAUACCCGCUGAACUUAA
rnacentral:misc_RNA from 1 species